UACGUAGGGUGCAAGCGUUAUCCGGAAUCACUGGGCGUAAAGCGUGCGUAGGUGGCGUGUUAAGUGUGAUGUUAAAUCGUGUGGCUCAACCAUAUCGAUGUGUCGCAUACUGGCAUGCUAGAGGACGGCAGAGGCAAGUGGAAUUGGUAGUGUAGCAGUGAAAUGCGUAGAUAUUACCAGGAACACCAAUGGCGAAGGCAGCUUGCUGGGCCACUCCUGACACUGAGGUACGAAAGCGUGGGGAGCGAACAGG
rnacentral:rRNA from 1 species